rnacentral:rRNA from 1 species
UACGUAGGGUGCGAGCGUUAAUCGGAAUUACUGGGCGUAAAGCGUGCGCAGGCGGUUUUGUAAGCCAGGUGUGAAAUCCCCGGGCUCAACCUGGGAAUGGCAUUUGGGACUGCAAGGCUGGAGUGCGGCAGAGGAGACUGGAAUUCCUGGUGUAGCAGUGAAAUGCGUAGAUAUCAGGAGGAAUACCGAUGGCGAAGGCAGGUCUCCGGGCUGACACUGACGCUCAUGCACGAAAGCGUGGGUAGCAAACAGG